AACGAACGCUGGCGGCGUGCCUAACACAUGCAAGUCGAGCGGAGGCAAGGGGCUUGCUCCUUGCUUUAGUGGCGCACGGGUGAGUAACGCGUGGAUAAUCUGCCUGAUGCUCUGGGAUAACAUCUCGAAAGGGGUGCUAAUACCGGAUAAGCCCACGGACUCUUCGGAGUUUGCGGGAAAAGGGGGGGACCUUCGGGCCUCCUGACAGCAGAUGAGUCCGCGUCCCAUUAGCUAGUUGGUGGGGUAAAGGCCUACCAAGGCGACGAUGGGUAGCUGGGCUGAGAGGGUGAUCAGCCACACUGGAACUGAGACACGGUCCAGACUCCUACGGGAGGCAGCAGUGGGGAAUUUUGCGCAAUGGGGGCAACCCUGACGCAGCAACGCCGCGUGAGUGAUGAAGGCCUUUGGGUCGUAAAGCUCUGUCAGAGGGAAAGAAAUGUGGGUGGUUAAUAACCAUUCCACUUGACGGUACCCUCAAAGGAAGCACCGGCUAACUCCGUGCCAGCAGCCGCCGUAACAC
rnacentral:rRNA from 1 species